rnacentral:rRNA from 1 species
CAGCAGCCACGGGAAUACAGAGGGUGCGAGCGUUAAUCGGAUUUACUGGGCGUAAAGCGUGCGUAAGCGGCUUUUUAAGUCGGAUGUGAAAUCCCUGAGCUUAACUUAGGAAUUGCAUUCGAUACUGGGAAGCUAGAGUAUGGGAGAGGAUGGUAGAAUUCCAGGUGUAGCGGUGAAAUGCGUAGAGAUCUGGAGGAAUACCGAUGGCGAAGGCAGCCAUCUGGCCUAAUACUGACGCUGAGGUACGAAAGCAUGGGGAGCAAACAGGAUUAGAUACCCCCGUAGUCCCUGUCUCUUAUAC